GCUGCUCUUCAGCUGGGUGAGCGCUGGCCCUGGGCAGCUAUUUUGGGUGUCUAUAAGAAGCAAUGUGUCGGGAACACAGGAAAGCUCAGCUGUUGAUGAAAGCAGAAUAUCAAACAAGAUGCCAAACAAUCUGGCUUUACAGCUUCGCACAGCACAAACGGAGGGGGAAAGGGCAGAAAGAGGCACAAGGCACAGGCUCCAAGCUCCAUGCAGGAGAAGCGAAAUGCAAAAGAAUGAGGUUCCUAGUGAUUCUUGGGACACGGUCAGGAGGUGCAGCUGAGUUAAAUGGGAAAACUAAAUUACUUCCUAUUAGUAGACUAUUCCUGGUUUUGUUUUAAAAUCGAGCAGGAAUAUCAUCAGGGUGUAGUAUACUGCUGUUUGCAAUUCUUUCAGAUGCGUGAGCUCAGGCAGGCAAUAGCAAGCCUAUGCUGUGGAGCCUAGUGUUGUGGUAGAAAUGUCAAUCCAAACAACUGAGAACUAAAAAAGUUAUAACACAGCUGGUAUUGUUUGGGAGGAUAAUCUCUUCAGACUCAUGCACUACAGGACAAAAAAGAAGCUCAAUGCAAUUUGAAGCACCACCAUCCAUCAAGCUUUUUGCAUUUACAGCACUUGGAACUACACAACAGACUGGGAAGGAAGCAAUCUUGUGUUAGGAAACUCCAUGCUACAGCACUAUGGUAGAGAGAGAAUACAGACACAAGGUUGCAAAGGGCCAGACUCUGCUGUGGUAUAUUUAUCUGAUAUUAUCACUGUGGAGAGCAGUUCCUGGGGCAGAUGAGGAAGCCACUGAAUGAGAUGAAACAAGACCGUGAGUCUUGCAUCCCAUGGAGAACCACCACAGCAUUACUGACAGUGCCUAACUGAAGUCAGCAAUUCAGGGGAGAGAGUGACAGCACAGCCAGCAUCUAUCUCCAACUGCCAGAUUUACCUCAAGCUCUGAAUGUGCCUCUGCAAAAAGUGCGUUUCUGAGAGCAAGAAGGGAUCUCAAUGGCCCAAAAAGCCAUUGAGUUUCCAAGAUGAUCGCCAUAUAUUAUGGCAACUAUCAGCAUUUGUUAUGUUUUGCAUGCAUUUGAUACUCUGCUUGGAAAUAACUGAGUGGUGCCGAGGGCUGGAGGAUAACAUACCCACUGCGCUGUGUGUGCUUCCCUCUGCAACCAGCUCCUGUGUCUGCAGGCUCCUGUUAGUAUCAUGCAUUUAGACCCUUAGAAAAACGAAAAGGUUUGAAUGAUAUAAGUACGAGAGUUUUUUCUGUAUUGUAUUCUUCUGGGAAAUACAGGGUGGGAGGAUUAGUUAAUAUUUUAGACUACAGGAGGUAAAUCAAGAGGGAGGUGUGUAUAGAGCGUUUAAGUUCAGAGUUGCUGUUUAAUGGACUGCGGUCACAUAUCGCAGCAUGUGUACAUGUAAUUGUCUCCCAAACUGGAGACUGAAUCCUUAAAGCUUCCCUUGCUACACAUUACUUCUCUAAACAAGAGACAGAAAUAUAAUACAGUAUUACCAAAGCAGAUGAUUCAUUCUGAUAUGCUACUUAAAACACGCCAAGGACAUUAGCUACAGCUCAGCCAAAUCUCCCUGUCUGAAAUAAACAUUGAUCUGAUGGAGUCCUGCAUUAAUUUUUAAAACAUAACAGCAGGGGGCAAGGAGGGCCAGGGUUUUUCACUGCAAACUAGCUGCUUACGCAAUAGGAAUGAGGUGUAUUUUCAGUGCUUGUUGUUCUUUUUCUAAAUAAUUCUCCCCAGAAGCUGUAUUUGCAAUGGUGAAGUUCUGAAAAAUUCUAAAGUUUUUAAGGUGGUUCUUUCAGAAUAAUUCAGUUUUCAGUAAAUAGUCUGGAAAAACACGUCCUGCCUUGCACAUUGCGCAUAAGAUUGCAGAAAUGUAUUUUUAGGGUCAUGAGCUAAAUUAACAUCUGGCUCAAUUGGUAUUUCAGCUGCGUUAUGUACAUUUGGCCUGAAUGUAGCCCAUUGCUUAUUUUUUGCCCUCAGAUUAUGCAGUGGCAUUUAUCCUACAUGCAUGUAGCAUGCAACCUAUCCCUAACAUCUGAAUAAAUCUUGGAUAUUCAGUCAUCUGGCAUACUUCAAGUCUGAAGCCCAGAAGGAAGUUUCCUCUCCCCAAGUUUGCUAAACCAAAGGCCUUCAAAAUCUCUUCUGUCCUCCAAAGUGCAGAAAAUGGUAUUGAGUGAAGGCACAGAGUUGCUGCUGGCUGUCAGAGGCAUGUGUGAAAUGUUCUCCUUCCCUGAGACCAAGUUCCUGAAAUCUGGAGUUCUUCCACAAAACCAAUGGAUGUAUUUGAUAGUUACUGGGAUUUUGCAAAGAGAUGUCUAUGUUUUGGUCUGUGUGAACAUCUGUCUCGGCUGGAUGGUUUCAGAAAACUUUAAACAGCCCCAGUAGUUUCUGAAGGGAGGUAAAAGUAUAUUGUUGUGCCUGUGUUUGAAAAUGGAGACUGAGUUCACACAGGUUGUGAGCCUUUCAAAAAGCAGCAGUUCACUUGUGUCCAGGAGAGACACUGCAAGUUUCACGCCUACGCUUCCUGGAGGUCCCGGGGUGCAACGCCCAUCCAUCUCUGGAGGACCUGGAGCACCAGAAGAAGGUUGGAGCCCUGUGAAAAAUAAUCCACGAUCCUGUAAGGACUCUAGUGCACAAUGUGAGGUUGCGAGCAAAAGUUAAUGCUGGUACUUUGACAAGUUCUGGACUUCUCAACCUUGAUGAUGUUCAUUCAUUAAACUGUUGCGUGUAUGUUUGGCUCAACAUGGUGCAGUUACUCAUAUCAUCUGUUGUUCAACUUUUGACCAUGUCUAAGCCAACACUGGAUAACUAAACAACCAUGAGGUUUUUAUGGCUCUCUAAUAAGAAUAAUCUAGGCACAUCUGGCUUAAUGAACUUGUUUGAUCCAAGCAGAAAAAAGUCUCAUCUUUCAGAUGUAUUCAUAAUUUUCUCUAGGUUUUUCUUAAUCAGUGUUUAUGGGAGGAUUUUAUUCAGUGUUACUUUUUUACAUGACAUGAAUGCAGAGGGGGGAAGGGUUGCUCUGCAAUAAUUCUGUGCCUGGUGAAAGACCUAGUCCUUUACUUUCCUGCAACAGUAGUUCUCGCUCACAUAAUCUAAUCAAUUUUAAAUAGCUGAAGAGGAGGAUCAACAUUUCUUCUCUAAAAAUAAGGUGAUGAAAGUAGCCUAUUAAAAAUACUAUGCUAUAUUGGUGGUACAGCUGUAAGGGAUUUACAAAAAUUAAUUAUAUUACUAUUGUAAAAAUAUCAGCAUUGAAGUUAGUGCCAAUGUAUUUUGGUCUUGGAUUCCACAUAUUCAUCUGUCUGGUAUUUUCAGAAAAAGCAAUCUACUUAAAGUCUCUUUCUCUAUAGAAAAUUUUUCCUGCCAUUAUACAUGCCUGAUCUAGAAUUCUUAAUUUGGAAAUUAAAUGUUCAUCAUUCAAAAAUACCAUGUUGUACUUGACAAUACUUUUGGCUUUCUUCUUAAAUCCAGAGAUUCCAAGAAAACAAACAACAAUAAGCCCCAUUUUUUUUCCUUUCUUGGGAGCUAAAGAGUACUGAAGAAGUCUGAUGAUGACUUACUCAUGUGGAAAAAAAAAAGUGGGAAAUAGUGCAAUUUCCGUUUUCAUUGAUAUUGUUAAUACCUCCUGAGUCUGGAAACUCCUGUUUUGAUGAACGUCAUCAACAAAUGUUGUCAGGUUUAAAUUACUGCAUUGUUCUGCAUGAUUUAGGUAUGCUGUGUGUUAAGAGACUCAGGAUAUUUUAAAACCACUAGAGAGAAUUGGUGGGAAGUUGGAGGAAACUUUCUGACAGAUCAGAGCGAUCAUUUCAUGUUAAUGGUUGAGAUAACUGUGUGAAGCUGGUCA